UUUAACCAAACUUGCACCCAACUUGUAUCACCAUAAGAUCUCGAUUCCUUUCUUGAACUGGCGAGAUUCCUUUUUUGGUUCCAGAGUUAUGGCCCCUGAAAUUGCCAGAAUUAGCUAUUUUGAUCUUGUCUGCACAAUAGCAGCUUCAUUUAUGAUUUGAAUUUAAUCAAACUUGCACAAAACUUCUGUCACCAUAAGAUCUCGAUUCCUUUCUUGAACCGGCCAGAGCCCAUAAUGGGUUCCAGAGUUAUGGCCCCUGAAAGGGCCAAAAUUAGCUAUUUUUACCUUGUCUGCACAAUAGCAGCUUCAUUUAUGAUAUGGUUUUAACCAAACUUACACACAACUUGUAUCACCACAAGAUCUUGCUUCCUUUCUUCAACUGGCCAGAUUCCGUCUUGGGUUCCAGAGUUAUGGCCCCUUAAAGGUCCAAAAUCGGCUAUUUUGGCUUUUGCAGCCAUAUAGAGACUUCAUUUAUGGUUUUAUUUGAUACAAACUUCCUAAAUAUCUUCAGCAACAAUAAAUCUUGGAUUACAUGACAAAUCAGAUCCAAUCAUAUGUUCCAGAGUUAUUUUAUAUCUGAUUAUCGCCCCUGAUUGUAAUCAAAAUGGAUUUAUGUCAGUAAGUACUUACAGGACUUAUUUGAAAUUUCAUUAUUAUGUCUCCCCCAGGAGACAUAUUGUUUUUGCCCUGUCCGUCCGUCCGUCCGUCUGUACGUCACACUUCAUUUCCGAGCAAUAACUGGAGAACCAUUUGACCUAGAACCUUCAAACUUCAUAAGGAUGUAGGGCUGCUGGAGUAGACGACCCCUAUUGUUUUUGGGGUCACUCCGUCAAAGGUCAAGGUCACAGGGGCCUGAACAUUGAAAACCAUUUCCAAUCAAUAACUAGAGAACCACUUGACCCAGAAUGUUGAAACUUCAUAGGAUGAUUGAUCAUGAAGAGUAGAUGACCCCUAUUGAUUUUGGGGUCACUCCAUCAAAGGUCAAGGUCACAGGGACCUGAACAUGGAAAACCAUUUCCGAUCAAUAACUAGAGAACCACUUGACCCAGAAUGUUGAAACUUCAUAGGAUGAUUGUACAUGCAAAGUAGAUGACCCCUAUCGAUUUUGGGGUCACUCCAUUAAAGGUCAAGGUCACAGGGGCCUGAACAUUGAAAACCAUUUCUGGUCAAUAACUUGAGAACCACUUGACCCAGAAUGUUGAAACUUAAUAGGAUGAUUGGUCAUGCAGAGUAGAUGACCCCUAACGAUUUUGGGGUCACUCUGUGAAAGGUCAAGGUCACAGGGGCCUGAACAUUGAAAACCAUUUCUGGUCAGUAACUUGAGAACCACUUGACCCAGAAUGAUGAAACUUCAUAGGAUUAUUGGUCAUGCAGAGUAGAUGACCCCUAACGAUUUUAGGGUCACUCUGUAAAAGGUCAAGGCCACAGGGGCCUGAACAUGGAAAACCAUUUCCAGUCAAUAACUUGAGAACCUCUCGACCCAGAAUGUUGAAACUUCAUAGGAUGAUUGUUCAUGCAGAGUAAAUGACCCCUAUUGUUUUUGGGGCCACUCCGUUCAAGGUCAAGGUCACAGGGGCCUGAACAUUGAUAACCAGUUCUGAUCAAUAACUUGAGAACCACUUGACCCAGAAUGUUGAAACUUCAUAGGGUGAUUGAACAUGCAGAGUAGAUGACCCCUAUUGAUUUUGGGGUCAGUCUGUUAAAGGUCAAGGUCACAGUGGCCUGUUCAUGUAAAAUCAUUUUUUGGAAAUAACUUGAGAACCACUUGACCUACAAUGUUGAAACUUAAUAGGAUGAUUGGACAUGCAGAGUAGAUGACCCCUAUUUAUUUUGAGGUCACUUGAUCAAAGGUCAAGGUCACAGGAGCCUGAACAGUGACUUGAGAACCACUAGGCCAAGAGUGUUGAAAUUUAGCGGGAUGACUGGACAUGCCAAGUAGAUGAUCCCUAUUGCAGCCAACCAUCAGUGUCUCUUUGAUUUUUGCUCCUGACCCCUAUUGACUUCUUGCCUAUAGGACUUUGCAUUGGGGGAGACAUGCGCUUUUUUACAAAAGCAUUUUCUAGUUGUUAUUAGUUGGACUGAGACAAUCAGGGUAGAUAACUGUGGACUGAUUUUAUGUCAAAUUACCUCCCUUUAUUUCAAAUUUAAAUUGUUAUAUCUCCAUAACUUAUGAAGAUACUGAUCUGAAAUUUCAUUUAUGUCAACAGAUUUAUUUGGCAGAUCCUUCUUUUGUCCACUUACAAUAUUUUUUUUUUAAUUACUUCCCUUUUACGUUACUGUAAAUAGCUUAUUUUAGUAACUUUUUUAUUAUUGGCCGUAGGGAAAAUACGAGACCAGUUUUUUGUGGUACAACAUGGAUGGUACCUCCAAUUUUUAGGUGUAUUUUAACAUAUCUAUACCUUGUAAGAUUUUUUGAGUCGGCUAAACGAUGUAAUCGUUUUGACGAGUCCUUGCUAUCCAGCGAUUCUCUAAGUCUAAAUGGACCAAAUAACACAGUGAAGCGAUGUAGUUCCAUUAGAUUUCUCAAACUUCAAACAGUUCACUGCAAGAAUGAAGUUAAGUUGCGUGAAUUCCCUUUGCUAUGACCAAUAUGCGAUGUAAUCUGUCAUAUUUAUGACUUGUAAUUGUGCAAAACUCGAAUGUAACUCAUUAAGCAUAAAUGUGCAUUUUAUGAAUUGCGCAGGCUUACAAAGCUUGCGUAACAUCCAGCGAAAGACAAAAAAUAGUUCACAGGGCUCCAGAUAAGAUGCGUAUUAGCGUAAAUUACGUAUAGAAAUAAUGCAAAUACGCAUGUCUAAUAAUUUCUAAACGUAUAUAUAAAAUUACAGAAAUGCACACAAUGCUUUUUUAAAAACAAAAUCUGAAUCGUCUGGAUGCGUUAGGUAACAUAGCCGAUCCCGAUCAGCCUUAAUUCUCCCACAUUGAACAUAUACACGCAUCGUAUGAUUUCUAUAAACUUUGCAUGGGUUUCUACACACACACUUGAAUUUUGCAGUCAGUAAACGGAUAAAUUAUCGGAAGAAGAAGCUCUUACUGGUUUGUUUAGUUACUACAGAUAUUAAAAAUGAUUUUAAUUCUUAUUUUUCCAGAAAUAAACAAAUCGGCGAAACAUUAAAUUGUAUUUUCUUGUAGUUUUUGAAAUCGAAAGUAGAUCGUCUAUGUUUGGCGAAACGAAACAACUUUUUUAUGAAAAGAUUUAAAUAAGAGGUAAUUUAACCGUAAACUUCAAUGUCAGAUACUGCCAAUUGCUGCUAAAUGUCUUCGUAUCAUCACAAUUUGUAAAAUAUAUUGUUCAAACUGGAGAAAAGUGUAAUCGUAUCCGGAUAUAAUAUUUUGGGUAAAUAUCGAGCUGUGUUAUGAAAUUUUAAGAAAAAAAAAACUAAAAACAAACUGAAACUGGUAGACUAUACUGUCAGUACAUCAAUCAUUAGCCGACUCAGGCCAUUCAGGCCUUUGAUUUUUCUUUUUGGUUAAAUUCCUUCCCUUUGUUGUUCCUGUCCUUUGGACAGCUUCCAUCACACAAUUUUAUAGUAAUACAUAAACAUCUACUCUGAAACUGGUCAGAAUUGCACCAAACUUGGUCUGUAGCCUCUUGGUAAGAUCCUCUCUCAGAUUUGUUCAAAUGGUUCUGCUCGAUCCCUUUUAGGGGCCACUAGAUGUAAAAUAGAAAAACCUUUAAAUAAUUUUUUCAUAAACAGCUUCACGGAUCUUUGUCAAACUUUAUCUGUAAUAUUGUUUUUGGGUCAUUUCAUGGUACAUGGUUAAAAGUGUAACUUUAGUUUAAUUAAAUCGCUUGUUACAGGUAAAUCUAUAUAUUUAAAAUGAUAAGUUUAAUUGAGUGGCUUGUUACAGGUAAAUCUAUAUAUUUAAAAUGAUAAGUUUAAUUGAGUGGCUUGUUACAGGUAAAUCUAUAUAUUUAAAAUGAUAAGUUUAAUUGAGUGGCUUGUUACAGGUAAAUCUAUAUAUUUAAAAUGAUAAGUUUAAUUGAGUGGCUUGUUACAGGUAAAUCUAUAUAUUUAAAAUGAUAAGUUUAAUUGAGUGGCUUGUUACAGGUAAAACUGUAUAUUUAAAAGGAUGACUUCAGUUGAGUCACAUGUUACAGGUACGUAAAUCUAUAUAUCUAAAAGGAUAACUUUAAUCGAGUAGCUUGCUACAGGUAAAUCUACCUAUCUAAAAGGAUAACUUUAAUCGAGUGGCUUGUUACAGGUAAAUCUACAUAUCUAAAAGGAUAACUUUGAGUGGCUUGUUACAGGUAAAUCUGCAUUAUAUAAAACUGUAACUAGAAUUUAAUUGCAUGUUGCUGGUAAAUCUAUAUAUCUUAAAGGGUAACUUCAAUUGAAUCUAUUGUUAAGGUAAACUCAUAUUUAAAACUUCCAAGUGAGAACUGGAAAUUGUUAGGUUAUAUUUUGAAAAUGGUUUACAAUGUUCUGAAUUUUGACUCCAGAGAUUCUUCUUGAAAUAAAGAAUGAAGUCCCACAUAUACAUGUAUAUGCAUACCUUUACAAGUUUGAAAUUGCAACAUCUCUGUUGUUAAAUAAAUUUAGUAAUGAUUGUCUGGAUUCCUCAACCAUGCUGUAAAAUGAUCCAGAUGAUUGGCAUGUGGUACUGUUCAAGUUACAGUACACAAGUAACAUUUUGAUAAUUGAUAAUGACUUACGCUCACCAAAGGUGCAGCAUGUAGUCGCUGCUUUGUCUUUCCAUCCGUCUGUCCAUCCUCUCAUCCGUCCCGCAUUUCUUGUCCAAGAUAUUUCUCAGCAACCGCUGGUUGUAAUUUAGUGAAACUUCAUAGGAAGCUAUACUAUCAAGAGGAGAUGCACAUGUUAUCUUCAUGUUCCGGUCUGAAGAUUUUUCACAGAGUUAUUGCCCUUUGAUUUUUCAGUAGUAGGAUCCUAUAGUACAAUUCUUGUCCAGAAUAUUUCUCUGCAACCACUGCUUGGAAUUUAGCCAUACUUCAUAGGAAGCUUAACUAUCAAGAGGAGAUAUGGAUGUUGUCUUUAUGUUUUGGUCUGAUGAUUUUUCACCCAGUUAUUGCCCUUUAUUCAACAAAAGUAUAUUAUAGUACAAUUCAUGUGCGGAGGAGUGGUUACUGGUUGGAAUUUAGUGAAACUUCAUAGGAAGCUUCACUCCCAAGAGGAGAUGCGUAUUUUCUUCAUGUUGUGGUCAGUUGAUUUUUCAUCAUGUUGUUGCCCUUUGAUUAUUCAACAAUAGUACAAUUCUUGUCCGGAGUAUUUCUCUGCAACCAUUAGUUGGAAUUUAGCGAAUCUACAUAGGAAGCUUCACUAUCAAGAGGAGAUGCACAUGUUAUCUUCGUGUUUUGGUAGGAUGAUUUUUCACUGAAAUAUUGCCUGUUGCUUAUUCAACAUUAGUAAAUUAUAGUGCCAUCAUAGUCAGGAGAACUUCUCAGCAACUACUGCCUGGUAUUCAGCAGAAAUUAAUAGGAUGCUUCACUCUCAAGAGGAGGUGUGCAUAUUUUCUUAAUUAUCCAUUGGAAUGAGAGCAUCCAUCGGUUUUACCAGUGUUUCUUGUUUCUAGUUGUUACUAUAAGGAUGGGUUGCUGAUUAAAUUUAAUUUAAUCAAUACAGACUAUAGUGAAAUUAAAUCUUUAAACUCUAAUUAGAAUGGUUACAGUUUGAUAGAGACCUCCAUACUGGCCGAGUGGCUAAGGUUGCUGAUAUAAAAUCACUAGCCCCUCAUCAGUGUGGGUUCCAUAAGGGUCUUCUUCUACCAUUCAAAUCUGGAAAACUGCCAUAUGACCGAACUAUUUUUGGUAUGACUUUAAUAACAUUGGUGUUUCUUAAAAAAGCAUUGAAAAAAUAAAACAGUUUAAAAGAAAUCUUUGAAUAAGCCAUUAUUUCUUACAAGAGCAUAAAGAAAGUGGUUUAUAUGUCAUGCCAUUAUGUCAGUUAUAACCGACCAUUUCAAUCACUUGUUUCUAAAUGAUAUGCAUACACUUGUUGAGUUUUUUCCUUGUCAGUGGUUUUGGCAGGUAAAAUGCUUCUAUCUCUAUGUGUAUCUCCCAUGUACAUUUAUCAAAAAGCAAAAAUUCACGUUUUGUUAAAACAUUAUUGGAGCAUCAAUACUCGUAUGUAUGAUAUUGUUUAAUUGCCUCCCUUUACAUUAAAUAAAGAACAUAUUUUGAUAUCUAAUAAUAAUUGAAUGACAUCAGGUAAAAGAAAAAUGUUAUACUAAAUGAUGUACAGUGGUCAUUAGAAAGCAAUGGCAGACUUUAUUUUAUAUUUUUUCUGACUGUUCCUAUGGUAAAUUAUAUUCCAAAAUAAGAGUCAGUAUAUGUAUGUUUCUGAACUUCUUUGCAAGUUGUUGUCAUCACAAAAGUGUUCAAUGAAAGAGAAUAAGUUCUUUUUAUUGUCUUUUGGAAAAAUCAUUAAAUUAUUUAUGAUAUGGUUAAA